rnacentral:lncRNA from 1 species
CGUGUAAUGGACCUAUCGGCUCUCGUCCCGACUCGCUUCGCUCCAUCUCCGAAGUCCCAACCCUAGGGGGAAAAGGGUGGGAUAGAUUCCCGGGGGCGGUAAGGGCAACGGCAGCAGUGACGAAAACCUAUUUCAAGAAGAGCCGGAGUCACCUUGGAGGCAGCGGUGAUGCCAAAGAUAUGCUCCAUCUCCGAAUGCUCCGCAACAGCCGCCACCC